rnacentral:rRNA from 1 species
CUUGCUCCUUUGACGUUAGCGGCGGACGGGUGAGUAACACGUGGGUAACCUACCUAUAAGACUGGGAUAACUUCGGGAAACCGGAGCUAAUACCGGAUAAUAUUUCGAACCGCAUGGUUCGAUAGUGAAAGGUGGUUUUGCUAUCACUUAUAGAUGGACCCGCGCCGUAUUAGCUAGUUGGUAAGGUAACGGCUUACCAAGGCGACGAUACGUAGCCGACCUGAGAGGGUGAUCGGCCACACUGGAACUGAGACACGGUCCAGACUCCUACGGGAGGCCAGGC